UCAAUUCGACGUCGAUUAUCGUCGACGCAAACAGUUUGACAGUUCUCUUCUGUUGAUCUUGUUCGGACUUGAUUGCAACCGAGUCGAACCAGUUGUUGUUGCUUUUAGGCUUUUGGAGGAUUUUGGACAGUUAAUAGAUUUCGGUCUUCGUGGCGGAGGAGGAGGAGGAGGACAGGAAAUAUGGUUUACUCGGCGGGCCAUUCCGGAAGACGGGACGGGAAGGAACCAGUUUGCGAUCGUGGAAGCGGUUGGUGUUUGGUGUUUUACCGUCCGCGGGAGGUUGCGACGCAUACCUAAAGGAACUGGCAACAAACAUAUUCCAAUCUG